CCGCACCCCGUGCGCCGCGGGACGGGGUCGUCAGCGCCUCACAGGGAGCGGGGGGAGCGGGUCACCCGCGCCGCGGGAUGAUCCUGGCAGUGCAUCACCCGCACCGGGGGAACGCAUCGCCUACACCUCAGGACGGUCCCGUCAGUGCCUCACACGGACCGGGGGGAGCGACCCACCCGCACCGAGUGCGCUCCCCGAAGCGCUUCACCCGCACCGGGUGCGGUCCCCUCACCGCCUCGCCUCAGCCCGCUGGAAUCGUUCCCCUCAGCGCCUCACCCGCACCGAGGGGCGCUCCCCUCAGCGCCUCACCUCACAUUCCCCGGAAUGCCCCCUCAGCGCCUUGUCCCGCUCUCCCAGGGUCGCCCCCCGGGGAUUUCGCCCCCUCACGCAGUGGCCGCUCCCCUCAGCUCCCCAUCUCCCGCCACCGCUUCCUCAGCCCCAGAGCUGCUCCCUCAGCCCCUCACCCCGAGGGAGGGUGAGGCCACCAUUCCCCUAAGGGUUUCACUCUUCGGCUUCACCCACUUGGCCAGUAAAGCCCUUCUGAAUAGACCUUUUUCCCUCUUGGUCCCUCACGUUCCCCACAGGGUUGUUUCUCCCCUCCUGCACCUCUGCCCACCCGUAUUUUGUCUGCUCCCCAAUAGAAUAAUCUCCCUUUCUCCAUGCCUUGUCCCUCUCUGUCACCUCCUCAUGGGAAUCCUGUCACCUCUCAAGCAGCUUUUUCCCAAAGGACUUGUGAGUGAACAGACACAACACAGAGAACGAGGGCUGCAGAUGGACCCUGAUCCUCCCGUGGAAGCCCUGUGAGGACUCAGAGGAGAAGGAAUGCUGAGAUUUGAAGAUUUUAUGGCAGGUGGGACGUGGCAGCUGAGUUCUGGCAGGUGAGAUAAGCUGAAGGCUCCUUGGAAGAAGGGAAAAGCUGCCAAGGUUAGAUUAGUCACAAUAUUUUGUUGUGAGACAGCGAUGGGUGUUAUUGUUAUUGUUUUGUUACCAGAGUAGGAGUUUUACAUUGUUUUCAUUCACUCACAUGCGACAGGAACAGAGGAAGAGAAACACAAAUUGUUUGUACAUUUUAGUGGGAGUAACGCCAAAAAACAUUCCAUAUUUAGAUUUUGUGAUACUUUCAUGGUACUAGUUGAGUAUCUUCCAUAAAAUCAAUACAAAUAGAGCUGAGUAAAGUGGAAUGUUCCCUUCACAAGCUCGCAUCAGGAAGGACAUCAGCAGAAGGGAUUUGCAGUGUUUUACACAGUUUUGGAUGUGUCUGUUCUCCAAAGGACUUUUCCACAGGCUCAAAAUUCUCUGUCUCCAGCUCUCCCAUGCUCCUUCCAAGGCCUUCUGGACUGCUUUAUCCCAGAGGAAUAUGGUUGCCACAGUAGCUCCCAGAUGGAGGAUCCAGGUUUGAUAUAGCUGUGGAUUCAACCCACUGCCUUGAAAUACAAACCAAGGCCUUGUCUGGGAAUGAGGAGCUGACUCAGAGCCAGGAAGAGUGAGUGUAGCUCUGGAUGCUUCCACAGCAGGAGAGGCAUAGAACGAGGUGCACAGCCACAUUGUUAUCCCACGCUGAACAGAGGGAAUAUUUACCCUUUUAUAGUUAUUGAUUUGCUUAUGUGGAGUUCUUUCUGAAUUCAAUUAAGUUUGAGAUGAAAAUUCAGACUCAAAAAUCACUUAUUGAAUUCAUGUAAUGUCAUAUAACUGAGAAAUGUGUCCUGUCCUGCCUCAGUGCAGGCAAAUAAAAUAAUUACUAGUAAGUGUAAUUUCCUAAAUUAUUUUAAGUGCCUGCCAUUCAGGAAUUAACAGGACAAUCUAUAAACUUACAUAGCAUGGAACGCUGAUAUAGGUUUUUGCAUGAAAUUUUCAAUAUUAGGGCUGUUAUGGAUACAAUAAACAUCAUGCAGCUUGCCUGGCAUCUGCUGCAGGAGAUGUUGUGUAAUAUAAUGAAAAAUAUAUAAUAUUUUUGUUCUGCCUGUCACCAGCAAACGUCAGCCACUGUAACUUCAAUGUGCAGUCAGAGGGGUACAGCAGGAACUACAAAGAAACCUUGUACUACUUUAUGGGAGACUAAAAAACCAGACUGGAAUAACUUUGUGACACAAAUCAAGCAGAGGGAAUAAAAUCCUUAAGUUGUAAACAGGCUUGUACAGAAAACCAGUCUUCUGCUUUCAUUGUUUUUAAUUAUUUUCAUUAUUUUUGAGCAGCUACUGAGCAUUUCUCGAGCUGCUGUCAUCACCUCUGCCUCUGGUGGCAGGAGCCUGGGAUAAGCUCCUUCCUGUGCUGGUCUCCUGUGUCCUUGUGCUUCUCUGUGCUCACAGUUACUGAGAUUUACCAGAACAUGCUCAUGGUCUGUGGGGAAAAAUUCAGUCCUGUGAGCUGCCCAUGGAAAUUCCUGCUUGGAAUUUGCCUAUUAUGUAAUGGGAUUUAAGGCAACAGUGCCUCACCCUCCAGUUUAAUUUUAUAUUAACAGCUCUGUAUGGUGAACAUCCUUUUCAUCUUGAGGCUUUGCUGUGCAUCUUUCUGUUCAUUUAGAAAUGACACUUCCAGUAUUAAUGACCAUUGUGACACUAAGAGAUGUGUGAAACAGAAGAAAUAGUUGCUAUUUUCACGUGGGCUGCAAUAACCAGAUUUCCAUCCCCUGAAUCCUGGUACAUGUUAUUUAGGGAGCCUGAAUGCCAUUAUUAAUAAGGCCACUAUGCACAGAAUGGUGGCAUUUCUUGGCACACUAACUGGGAUUAAAAAAUACAGUUCCUUCAUUUUUUUUCUCCAAGUAAAACUUAGAAAGGACUGAAGGGGAAAGAAACACUGUUUGACAGAGGAGAGGAACAAACUAGACAGUGAAAUAAAAUAAUUUCAAACCUCAGAAAUGUAUUUUAAUUGCAAAAGAAAAAUAUUCCCAUUUUUCUCAUUUAGAAGGGCAAUAAUUGCUGAAGGAUGAGUGAUUUCAAGGUGGGAUUGAGGGAGGAAGAACAAGUAAAAAGAUAUUUUUAUUAAAAUGAAUACAGAUCAUUUGUUGUAGAAAACAUGAGUAUGAAUCACUACCUUGCAAACACAGCCUUACUGAAAUUGGGCAGGAAACAAAUGUAAAUCAUAGAAUUCUAAUAAAAAUGCUGGAAUGUUUUCUUAGAGAAAACCUCAUGCAGUGCUGUUACCCAGCACUACCUGUGACACACCUGGCCCAUCUGGAUGGAGAUUCUGCCUGCAUCCAUGAAAUCAUGGAAUCCCAGAAUGGUUUGGGUUGGCAGGACCUUAAAGCUCAACCAGUGCCACCCCCUGCCAUGGGCAGAGACACCUUCCACUAGCCCAGGUUGCUGCAAGCCCCAUCCAACCUGGCCUUGGACACUUCCAGGGAUGGGGCAGCCACAACUCACUGUUCCAUCUCUUCCACUGUUGAAUUGUCAUCACAGUCAGGGAGUUUCCUAAUCCACAAUUGAACUUGUGUUGCUGCAAUUUAAGCCUUUUCAUUCAUUUUUCCAUUUUUUUCAGGCCCAGAGAACAGUUUAUUUCCUUCCUCUCAUGUGCAGUUUUCUUCACCCAUGAGAGCUGUGACCACAGUUCCUGUCCAUCAUCUCUGCACUAAAUAAUCCUUGCCUUUCAAACUUUCUCUGCAGGCCACGUAUUCUGGAACUCUCAUCAUUCCUCUGGGAUUUCCUCCAACUUGUCCACACCUCCCUUGAGCUGCUGCUCUUUAGAUGAAGCCUCACCAAUGUGAAAUGUUCUGGACAGAUUCCUGUCUUCCAUGCAGUUCUCCUGCUCGGUGUCUCCGUGUCCUCUCUGCUUUCCCUGCAGCUGCAGGGUGAUAUUGUUGCCUCAUUCUGGGCUUGUAAAUGAAAUAACAACUUCCACUUCAAUUCUCUUUGUGGUGUUUCACAUGCACAAGCAAAACAAGCUGGCAUUUAACACUGCUCUCCCUGAUCUCAUGUCUCAUUUUCUUACUCAAGUAGCCUUUCAUGGAGGGAAGGAUCUAAAUGCUACCCGUCAGUGAGGAAGAGUGGUUGGGAGCUGAACAGAUCCCUGAGUGGUUGUCCUGAAUUUCUGAAUCUCAAAUGUCUCAGAAGGCUCAUUAUUAAUAUCCAAAAAUAGCCAGAUGGCACAAACCAGUAAAGGCCAAAUAAUUCAUCAUUCCACAGAUUUGGGCUGGACUGGCCUGCAGGUGAAGCCAGGAUGGAUGAAAAUCGUUUCAUGCUGUUACAGAUAAGACUGUUUCUCCUAAGGAUCCUGGUCCCAAAGGAUCCUCAUUCCAGGAGCAAAGCCAGUGGCUGCCUCCCUGAGACUGUUCCUGACACAGCAGCUGGACAGAGCCAGGCUGGAACUGCACCCAUGGGGUCACUGCACGUCUCACAGGUAAGAACAGGUGCCUGGAGAUAACAAGGCAUCACAUCUUAUUACCAAUUCCCUGGGAAAGCCAACAUCCCUCUCUCUUUCCUCUCCAAAGGAUGCUUUAUUAUAAUUACAUAUCACUUUAUUAGGCAGCUGAAGCAAAGAGCACAUUUGAUGCUAAUGAAGUGCUGCUGUGGUUGAGUCUGUCACUAUUUUUGGCCCUGCACAUCUCCAGCACUUCUGAUUGGGUGAGGGAGGCUUUGGAUGGCUCUGGCUUCUUCUGUGGGGGCUGCACAGGGAAAAGCAAUGACUCAGCGAGCCAGGACUGCAGAACUGUUUGCAUGCUCGGAAUGAGAAUGGCUGUGGGACGGCAGAGCACACACAAAGGCCCUUUAUGUGGAGCAAGGACUUGCCAGGUAGUGGACAGUGAAAAAUCCUUUGGAAUGUUCACUUUGUUUCUGUGUCUGUCACCUGUACAGUAUUUGUUUUUCUUGUUUUCCAUCCGUCACCCUGGAGCAGCUCAGGAAGAAGGCAGAUUUCACAGCACUCAAGGGAAAUAUUUUAGAGAGAGACACAUCACAGCUGUCCAGUGGCUGCCUUUCCUUAUGGACAAUGAAAGUUGUGCUGUCUCCAAGCCCAAGGAGCUGCUCAGCCCCAGAAAGGCAGGAUUUGGUGUUCCAAUUUUCCAUCAGGCCUGCUCCCACAUCCCUGUGUGACACCAGCAUCCAGCUGGGCCCAGUGACUCAGUCCAGGGAUUGACAGCAGCACAGAGAUAUCCUUCCCUCCCUCCCUGCCCACCUUGCAGGGUGUGUUCCUGGUCACCACAGAGGUGACAGGACCAAGAUGAGGGCAGCAUGUGAGGCCAUUGCUCCAUACCAGGAUCCUAUUUCCAAACCUCUUCCUGACAGCACAUCGGGAGACAAAGCCUCCCCUGCCAGUAAACAAGGGUAAUGGGUGCAGGUAUCACUUCAUGUCUUCUGAUACACAGAUGAGGAACGUGUCAGGGAACCAGUAAUUAAUCACAGAGAACACUGUUGUGUUUUUAGGCAAACCCACAGGGCUAUUUUGUUAUUGCAACUUCCCCAUUCCCAGAGGGGAAGGGAAUGACUGGAGCAGUAGUACCUCCUUCAGUUUGCUCUCAGGCCACAACUUGUGUGACUGAAUCUGGGUUUGCAGACCUUGCAAUACCACGUGCUGAUACAAACUAGUCUGAUUCCACUUGCUCAAUGGGGCUUUUCCCAUAUAAGUGUUCCCACAUACAAUUUUUAUUUUAACUGAGCUUUCUAAGCAUAUUGGGUUAAAAGUUUUCCUUGGCAGUAUCAGUGGACUUAACCUGAGCAGCAGCAGGGAGAUGUGUGCAAACCUUUUGUAUCCUUUUAGAGUUAUGUGAACAAGCCAGUCCUGCCACUGCAAGAAAAUCUCCCAUCAACUUAAAAUCCUCUGACUAUACCCAUGAUCCAGCAAACCAAGUACAACAGAAAACGUAACUCAUCAUAGACAAAAUGACAGGGAAAAAUAAAGAACACAGGGCAGAACACAGCACAGAGCAACAGAAACAGGCACUCAGCCAGGGCAGGAAUUCUGCACCGGGACACAGCCGGCUCACUGCCUCCCCCUGCUGAACCUCCUGGUACUUACAGAGAGUCCCAGAGCGGUUUGGGUUGGAAGGGACCAUAAAGCUCAUCCAGUCCCAUCUCCUGCCAUGGGCAGGGACACCUUCCCCUAAACCAGGUUGCUGGCAAGCCCUGUCCAGCCUGGCCUUGAACCCUUCCAUGGAUGAGUCAUCCACAGGUUCUCUGGGCAACCUGUGCCAGGGCUCACAAGUCACAGGGAAGAAUUCCUUCCCAACAUCCCAUCUAACCCUGCCCUCCGGCAGUGGGAAGCCAUUCCCCCUUGUCCUGUCACUCAAGGCCCUUGUCCAAAGUCCCUCUCCAGCUCCCUUGGAGCCCCUUUAGGCACUGGAAGGGGGUCUAAGUUCUCCCUGGAGCCUUCUCCUCUCCAGGUGAACACCCUCAGCUCUCCCAGCCUGUUAAUUAUCCAGAGAGAGAUGGUCUAAGUAAUCAGUGCUGUUACUUCCACACACAUUUAACACCCCCCAGCACCAGCUGUAUCAAUACCUGUAGCCCCUGGGUGCCAGCCAGGUGUUCUGCAGGUGUCUGAGUUAUUCCACUGCCUCUGGAGCACUCAAAGCCCAAUUCCUCUUUCCCAACGAGCAUGGCCAGUAUGUGCCAUGUAAGCUCCCACCUCAGACAGGGUUGUGUUGCUCCCUUUCCCAUCCCCUUCUCAUAAAUCUUGCAUGAAUUUGAUGAAAUCUCUUAUUCCUCAUCAAGUUUGACCCCGUUGGCUACUCUGAGCUCAGAAUUAAUGGGCAGCCAGAUGGUGCAGUUACAUAAUCCUCCAUUCCUGCAGAAGUCUGGCUAAGAAAGAGCUCCAGCCUGCCAGGUUUGUUAAUAUGUACAUCCCUGGUUUUUGUAAGAGCAGAGCUACUGCUACCCAGGCAUCCUCUUCCAGAUUUCUGCUGACUGUGACAGAUCAAGAAAACACACAGGACUAACUUUUUCAACUCACUUUCAAAAAGUUUUAGAAAUAGGAAAAAUCACUGAGACUCCAGAAGUCUCCCAGGAUAGAAAAAUACUUCUCUUUCACAGAAACAGCUUUUCAACCAAUUUCCAAGCCUACAGAAUGAAGGAUUUGCCUUCUGAUCUAAGCAGGUGGUAUUCCUCCCAACUAACAGCAUUCCAUCCCACAAGGAUAAACAAAGAACAGGAAAGGGACAUACUCUCCAAAUUUUGUUAUGGUUCCAGGGAUAAGUUACUGUGCAAAACUCAAGUAUUCCCAGUGCUUCCACUUUAGAAUCCAAGGCAUAGCUCCUGAAAUGCCUCUAAAAAGUUCUAUAUUUGCUGAGGUUCAUGUGGUGAGUGAGGAAUCAAAGCUGUUUGUCAAACACCGUCUCAAGAGCUGCACACAAGGUUUAAAAUGCUGAGUUACCUGCAAAGUUUUAUUGACAGAGCUGGUUCUCCACAAAAAAAAAACCCCCAAAGCCCUGGUUUCAGCACAGCAAGCGUGGAGAGAAGUGUGUCAGCAGGAAUGAGGCUGGGUUUUAUUGUGCACUGUGGCAACCCAGCAUUAUCUGCUAUGCCCAAAAGAAAAUCUCUUCAGGAUCCCUCCCCAGCUCAUUCAAAGUUAAGAAAGCUGAAUUUCUGUUUAUAUUAAAUAGUUAAAAAAAAUGUAACAAACCCAACCCAACCAACCAAAACUACUACACCCCAAAUCUUACACUCAAAGUUCUGGUCAUUACAUGUGGUCCCUCAGAAUUUCAUGCCACAGGCACUUUUCUACCUGUUAAAUCAUGCAUGGCAAGCCUUGUGCAACAUGUGCCAUCACAGAUUGCAAAGAACACACCAGAAAUCCUUGCUUUUUUUUUCCCUUGGAAUUUAAUGUGGUGCUUUCAGAAGGCCUAGAACACCAAUUUGUGAGGAUAGACUCCAUUGGAGAGGCAGAAGGUGGAGCGCAGGUACCCACGGAGCUGAGGCACCUUCUUGAUCCGGGCCAGGAUCUGGGAAUCCACGGCCUUCUGGUCUGCCUUGCGCUGCUCCGUCAGCUCGUACUUCUGCAAAGCACAGAGAAGAACAUGAAAAUCCUGCACAAUGACCUCAGAAUCUUCUGCAGAAAGGAGAAAAUUCAGGGAAAAACCCUAAGUUUUGACAUUCUCAUGAAAUCUUCAUUUGUUCUAAAUAAGGGUGGGAGACCUGAGGUAGCUCAGCACUGAAGCCACUGUUUGGCUUAUGCUGCUGGCAGGAUCCAACCAGGAAAAGUGUUUCUCACUCAAAAAAGAGAUUUAUAUUUAUUUAUUUAACUGGAAUAAUCCCUGCUGCUGGUCUGCUGAGGUACAAGCAGAGAAGAAUCCCCAAAUUUAGCAGGGUUUUAUCUCAGUGCUGUAUUAAUCUAUUUUAAUGGCAUCACCUCAUUUGAUUAAGGGCCACUUAAAAUCCAGCUGUUUGUUCCCUGCUAUUCCCCCCUUGGAGCCUGGCCUGGGGUCACAUGGGAAUUCAGGAUCAAUGAAUCACCACAUCUCUUACUUCUUUUUCAGUGUCAAAGAUCUCGCCUUCCUGGUGCUUGGGCUUCCGCAGCCUCUUCUUCUUGAAGUAGGAAUCAGUGAGAUGUUUGGGAAUUUUCACUCCAGUGAGAUCAACCUUUGUAGAUGUGGCAAUAACAAACUUCUGGUGGGCCCUACGCAGGGGGACACGGUUGACAACCAGGGGGCCUGAAGGCAGAGGGAAGAGAACAAAAUCAGCUUUUUUGGUGAAAACGGUUGCUUUGAAGUUGAAUUUUUGUAGUGUAUGUGAUGACUAGUUCCUUCAGACAUGCCCACAGCUAAAAUCUGAACAUUUAAAGCCCUUCCCCUCUAGAAAUACCAAAAAAUGCUUCCUGGUCUCUUCCACACAGUCAGAUGCUGAAGCUUAAUUAUCUCCCCUCCACCUUCCUGCAAAGUCACAAAUCCCAGAAUCAUUCAGGCUGGAAAAGACCUCCCAGACCAUGGAGUCCAAUCUGUGACUCAUCCCCACCUCAUCACUCAGUCCAGAGCCCUGAGUGCCACGUCCAGUCAUUCCUUGAACACCUCCAGGGAUGGGGACUCCACCACAAAACAUGAUUCCAUGUUGUCCCAUGAACACAUGACGUGCCAAAGCACCCACGUGCAGAUUGGUUGUGCUACUGACCCCAGAGACAAACCUGAACUUGGUAAACCCACCCCAAACCCACUGAACCCCCAAACCAAACAAAAAUAUCACAAGUAUGUAAAUGUUUUUACCUGUAACCAGCAGAAGGCCAGUGUCCAGCUGCUUCAAGAAGACAACACGCUGUAAAGGAACAAGAUGUGCCAUCAGCUCUCAGGUGCCAGCACUCCAGUACCACAGCCAAACUGGGACUGUGCCCAACUAGGCCUGGUACUGGUACAGGCACUGACAGUGCUCCAGGUGUGGGUGCAGCUGUGCAACCUGAGGAAUUGCCACCCUGGGAUCCAAACUACAGCACUUCCAUGAGCACAGCUCUGCCAGGGACCUCCUCUGGGACUCUCCAUGUGCCUCAUUGCUCAAGGCAGAGCAAACCCAAUUACUACAGUUUUACUCUUUGCCCAUCCUACAGGAUGGCAACAGCCAUCCCAUCCCCAAAAUUCUUUAUAUGAAUUAAAGGCAGGAACUGGAUAAAACCCAGAAAGGCAUCACAACAUCACACAGUCAGAGCCAUCCCCCAGCUAUGUCUUACUGUUUCUGGUCAAGUUUGCCUUCCCUGAACAACAACCUUUAUGUAAUGUGAUGUGAAGCCAGAAUAUUCAAGAAAAUAAAGGAUGUAAAGGA